GUGUGUGUGUAGUGUGCGCGCCGGUCAAUGGUAAUAAUAAUAAUUGUUAUUGAUGUCGUUGUUUGUUAUUGUAUUAUAUUGUUUUUUAUAUUUAUAACAUUAUUAUCGCCGCGCGAGGUAUGUACAAGUACGAUUUUACCGUGUUGCGCGAGUACUGCGACCGAUGGCGGUCCAAGGAUCUGAUCAGAACCCACAGCUCCAAGCGAUACGCCAUCGUCACCCUGGUCAUGUUGGACAACAGGUACGUGGACGGCGCCCUAGUGCUGGCCGAGUCGAUCCAGCGGUACAACGCGGCCAACAUCGACAGGGUGUGCAUGAUCGACAGGAGCGUGUCGGACGCCAACCGCAGGCGGCUGGAAGAGCGUUUCACCCGCGUGGUGAACGUACCCUACAUCGUCAAGCAGCUGUCCGACCGGUACCUGCGGUCGCGGCGGCAGCGCGAACUGUACGGCCGCUGGAUCGACUACUCGUACACCAAGUGGAACUGCCUGGACGAGGCGCUGUUCGGCCGGUACGACAAGGUGCUGUUCGUGGACGCCGACGUGGUGUUCACCAGCCGGUACCACGCGGACGCGUCGCUGGUGUACGCCGUGUUCGACGUGCCCACGCCGGCCGCGGUCAUCUGGAACCCGUACAACCGGAAGCAGUACAGCCCGUACGCGCUCAAGACCGUGCUGGAGGCGCACGGCAACAAGUGUCCCAGCGCCGUGCUCGCCCAGCUAUCGCGGCAGGCUUUCAGCGGCGGGUUCACGUUGCUAAAGCCCGACGACGCCGUGCUGCGGCUGGUCAAGUCCACCCGGCCGCCGGCGGACGUGCCGAUGAACGGGCCGGACGAGACGCUGCUGUACCACAUCUACACCGCGGUGCUGCGCGUCGACAUCUACAACCUGAACGCCAUAUGCAACUACAAGCCGGACGGGUGCAACACGGUGCAGCAGAAGCACAACAUCCUGUCCGUCCAUUACUACGGCACUGACAAACCGUUUUUCGGCCAAUCCGUUUCCGGCUGGCACGACACCUGUUUGUGGGCAGAGAUCUACGAACAGAUCAACAAGUGAUACGGCAGUUACGGGACAACACGUUUCGUUAUGUAUGAUAAUACAUUGUGCAAUAUUGUUUUUAUCCACCUCAGGCAGACUAGUAAUAUUCGGUAACUAUAAUAUACAGGGAUCACUUAAUUGCACGCAACCAUUCUUUGUAAUACACAAUGAGAAACAAGACGAGUGGACCGAAUUUCUAGUUAAAGCUGGCCAUGGACAUAUUUCGAAAGGUACUGAUAAUAAUUGAAUAACAAUUUUAAACUUAAUGUCGCUACCAACAACAUGUAUAUACAUAAAUUUGUAAAUAAUU